rnacentral:rRNA from 1 species
GACGAGCGCUGGCGGCGUGCUUAACACAUGCAAGUCGAACGGAAAGGCCCUGCUUUUGUGGGGUGCUCGAGUGGCGAACGGGUGAGUAACACGUGAGUAACCUGCCCUUGACUUUGGGAUAACUUCAGGAAACUGGGGCUCAUACCGGAUAGGAUCUCCUGCUGCAUGGUGGGGGUUGGAAAGUUUCGGCGGUUGGGGAUGGACUCGCGGCUUAUCCGCUUGUUGGUGGGGUAGUGGCUUACCAAGGCUUUGACGGGUAGCCGGCCUGAGAGGGUGACCGGCCACAUGGGGACUGAGAGACGGCCCAGACUGCUACGGGAGGCAGCAGUGGGGAAUAUUGCACAAUGGGCGGAAGCCUGAUGCAGCAACGCCGCGUGCGGGAUGACGGCCUUCGGGUUGUAAACCGCUGUCGCCUGUGACGAAGCGUGAGUGACGGUAAUGGGUAAAGAAGCACCGGCUAACUACGUG